GAUGAACGCUGGCGGCGUGCUUAACACAUGCAAGUCGAACGGAAAGGCCCAAGCUUGCUUGGGUACUCGAGUGGCGAACGGGUGAGUAACACGUGGGUGAUCUGCCCUGCACUUCGGGAUAAGCCUGGGAAACUGGGUCUAAUACCGGAUAGGACGAUGGUUUGGAUGCCAUUGUGGAAAGUUUUUUCGGUGUGGGAUGAGCUCGCGGCCUAUCAGCUUGUUGGUGGGGUAAUGGCCUACCAAGGCGUCGACGGGUAGCCGGCCUGAGAGGGUGUACGGCCACAUGGGGACUGAGAUACGGCCCAGACUCCUACGGGAGGCAGCAGUGGGGAAUAUUGCACAAUGGGCGCAAGCCUGAUGCAGCGACGCCGCGUGGGGGAUGACGGCCUUCGGGUUGUAAACUCCUUUCGCUAGGGAAGAAGCGUUUUUGUGACGGUACCUGGAGAAGAAGCACCGGCUAACUACGUG
rnacentral:rRNA from 1 species